AGAGUUUGAUCCUGGCUCAGAUUGAACGCUGGCGGCAUGCCUUACACAUGCAAGUCGAACGGCAGCGGGGACUUCGGUCCGCCGGCGAGUGGCGAACGGGUGAGUAAAGUAUCGGAACGUACCUUUCAGUGGGGGAUAACGUAGCGAAAGUUACGCUAAUACCGCAUAUUCUGUGAGCAGGAAAGCAGGGGAUCGCAAGACCUUGCGCUGAUUGAGCGGCCGAUAUCAGAUUAGCUAGUUGGUGGGGUAAAGGCCUACCAAGGCGACGAUCUGUAGCGGGUCUGAGAGGAUGAUUCGCCACACUGGAACUGAGACACGGUCCAGACUCCUACGGGAGGCAGCAGUGGGGAAUUUUGGACAAUGGGGGCAACCCUGAUCCAGCCAUGCCGCGUGAGUGAAGAAGGCCUUCGGGUUGUAAAGCUCUUUCGGCCGGGAAGAAAUCGCAUAGGUUAAUACCCUGUGUGGAUGACGGUACCGGAAUAAGAAGCACCGGCUAACUACGUGCCAGCAGCCGCGGUAAUACGUAGGGUGCGAGCGUUAAUCGGAAUUACUGGGCGUAAAGCGUGCGCAGGCGGUUUCGUAAGACAGAGGUGAAAUCCCCGGGCUCAACCUGGGAACUGCCUUUGUGACUGCGAAGCUAGAGUACGGCAGAGGGGAGUGGAAUUCCACGUGUAGCAGUGAAAUGCGUAGAGAUGUGGAGGAACACCGAUGGCGAAGGCAGCCCCCUGGGCCGAUACUGACGCUCAUGCACGAAAGCGUGGGUAGCAAACAGGAUUAGAUACCCUGGUAGUCCACGCCCUAAACGAUGUCAACUAGGUGUUGGGUGGGUAAAACCAUUUAGUACCGUAGCUAACGCGUGAAGUUGACCGCCUGGGGAGUACGGCCGCAAGGUUAAAACUCAAAGGAAUUGACGGGGACCCGCACAAGCGGUGGAUGAUGUGGAUUAAUUCGAUGCAACGCGAAAAACCUUACCUACCCUUGACAUGUUCAGAAUCCUGGAGAGAUUUGGGAGUGCCCGAAAGGGAGCUGGAACACAGGUGCUGCAUGGCUGUCGUCAGCUCGUGUCGUGAGAUGUUGGGUUAAGUCCCGCAACGAGCGCAACCCUUGUCGUUAAUUGCCAUCAUUUAGUUGGGCACUUUAACGAGACUGCCGGUGACAAACCGGAGGAAGGUGGGGAUGACGUCAAGUCCUCAUGGCCCUUAUGGGUAGGGCUUCACACGUCAUACAAUGGUCGGUACAGAGGGUUGCCAAGCCGCGAGGUGGAGCCAAUCCCAGAAAGCCGAUCGUAGUCCGGAUUGCAGGCUGCAACUCGCCUGCAUGAAGUCGGAAUCGCUAGUAAUCGCGGAUCAGCAUGUCGCGGUGAAUACGUUCCCGGGUCUUGUACACACCGCCCGUCACACCAUGGGAGCGGGUUCCGCCAGAAGUAGGUAGCCUAACCGCAAGGGGGGCGCUUACCACGGCGGGGUUCGUGACUGGGGUGAAGUCGUAACAAGGUAGCCGUAGGGGAACCUGCGGCUGGAUCACCUCCUU
rnacentral:rRNA from 1 species